GACGUCCCCUUCGGGGGCAGAGUGACAGGUGGUGCAUGGUUGUCGUCAGCUCGUGUCGUGAGAUGUUGGGUUAAGUCCCGCAACGAGCGCAACCCUUGAUCUUAGUUGCCAGCAUUCAGUUGGGCACUCUAAGGUGACUGCCGGUGACAAACCGGAGGAAGGUGGGGAUGACGUCAAAUCAUCAUGCCCCUUAUGACCUGGGCUACACACGUGCUACAAUGGACAGAACAAAGGGCAGCGAAACCGCGAGGUUAAGCCAAUCCCACAAAUCUGUUCUCAGUUCGGAUCGCAGUCUGCAACUCGACUGCGUGAAGCUGGAAUCGCUAGUAAUCGCGGAUCAGCAUGCCGCGGUGAAUACGUUCCCGGGUCUUGUACACACCGA
rnacentral:rRNA from 1 species